GUUAUGGUUCAGAGGUAGAGUACUCGCCUCGCAUGUAUGAGACCCUGGGUUCGAUCCUCAGCAUCACA
rnacentral:tRNA from 1 species